rnacentral:rRNA from 1 species
AUUGAACGCUGGCGGCAUGCCUUACACAUGCAAGUCGAACGGCAGCACGGGAGCAAUCCUGGUGGCGAGUGGCGAACGGGUGAGUAAUACAUCGGAACGUGCCCAGUUGUGGGGGAUAGCCCGGCGAAAGCCGGAUUAAUACCGCAUACGACCUACGGGUGAAAGCGGGGGAUCGCAAGACCUCGCGCUAUUGGAGCGGCCGAUGUCGGAUUAGCUAGUUGGUGGGGUAAAAGCCUACCAAGGCUACGAUCCGUAGCUGGUCUGAGAGGACGACCAGCCACACUGGGACUGAGAUACGGCCCAGACUCCUACGGGAGGCAGCAGUGGGGAAUAUUGGACAAUGGGGGGCAACCCUGAUCCAGCAAUGCCGCGUGAGUGAUGAAGGCCUUAGGGUUGUAAAGCUCUUUUGCCAGGGAAGAUGAUGACUGUACCUGGAGAAUAAGCCCCGGCUAACUUCGUGCCAGCAGCCGCGGU